UCCGGCUUACACCGGCGGUCUCUUGUGAGUCCCCGACUUUACUCGCUGGUAACACAAAACGUGGGUUGCGCUCGUUGGCGGACUUAACCGUACACCUCACGGCACGAGCUGACGACAGCCAUGCAACAAGUGUCUUCAUGUCUUCUUGUGGAAGAGGACCGACUUUCAUCGGUUUGCAAUCGAUGUCAAACCUGGGUAAGGUUCUUCGGUUAGUAUCGAAUUAAUCCACAUGCUCCACCGCUUGUGCGGCUCCCCGUCAAUUCAUUUGAGUUUCAACCUUGCGGCCGUAGUCCCCAGGCGGGAUACUUAUUGCGUUAGCUGCGACACAGAAGGGGUCUAUACCUCCUACGUCUAGUAUCCAUAGUUUAGGGCGUGGACUAC
rnacentral:misc_RNA from 1 species